AUUCACAUGUUAUAAAAAUAAGCAGGCCUGACUAUGAAGCUGAUAGGUGACUUGGUCCAAGUUCAGUUGAAAGCCUGGUGGACCCAGGAUUCUAAAGCAGCUGGUUCAACAGCCACAGUUUGAGUUCAGUCUGGGUCUUGAGCAAGUUCAAUUUACUUUAGGCUCUCAUUUCCCAAAUGAGACUUCGGGUUUAAGCUUCAUGCAGACCAGUGCAUUAUCGAUUUGUGCAGAGGCACAGAAAAUAGACACGCAGAGCUGUGAGUUCCCUGAAAAAGAUAAGAGAUGGCUGCCAGAAUGAGCAGAGACGGCCACAGAAAGCCGAGUUGGGGUGAAUUCUCUGGUAGAGGCCCUGGCCUUUCCCCCAUGACUCUGGCUAUCACUUCCUCUUUCAGGCCUUAAAAAGACAUCGAAUAUUACUUGUCUGCUUGAAGAAUUACUGCCUGGUCAGGCAGGGGAAGACCAACUGGUGUGUGUCUUUUAAUACUGACACGAGGAUAUGGUUCCAGCUGGAAUCCCUCCACUGUGAUCCAAGCAUUCACGCGGAAGUGGUGGCAAUACACACUGUCAUUGUUAAACCCGGCAACAGGAAGUGGGAUGAUGGAAGCGUCUGGAUAAUUCGAUCCAGCGGAGCUGCGUGGUAAGAUCAAGGUUCUUAAAACCCAGGUCUUAGACCCAAGUUACAUGGGAGACCAUGUUUGCACAAUGUCCUUCAAAGAAUCCAGUAACUAAACGCCACUGGACAGGGUCCAACACAAGCCUUUUUAAUGCCAAAUUCCACCACAGUGGGUCAUGUUAGUGGAUGGCUCCAGUGAAUUGGGGACAGGAAAAGCCCACCCCCACUACUCCUUUAAUACUUUUUUUUUUUGGACUGAAUUAUCCAGAUAAUUGCUUCACUUUCCAACCGAGCUUGCAGGGAGCAUAGAAGAUCUACUGACUUUUUUUUUGGAGGGAGGGGGCUGCAAUUAGAUUAUUACCUUGAUUGUUAUAAGUAGGUGCCAUAAAACAUUUAAUUUCUAUAUAUUUCAUUUUUUAAAUAAACUUACGGAUCUGUUUUCUGUGAUUCA
rnacentral:lncRNA from 1 species